UACGAAGGGGGCUAGCGUUGUUCGGAAUCACUGGGCGUAAAGCGCACGUAGGCGGAUCUUUAAGUCAGGGGUGAAAUCCCUCGGCUUAACCGGGGAACUGCGUCCGAUACUGGAUGGCUCGAGUUUGGGAGAGGGAUGCGGAAUUCCAGGUGUAGCGGUGAAAUGCGUAGAUAUCUGGAGGAACACCGGUGGCGAAGGCGGCAUCCUGGACCAACACUGACGCUGAGGAGCGAAAGCCAGGGGAGCAAACGGG
rnacentral:rRNA from 1 species